AAUUAUAUAGUAUAAAAGUAUGUUUAAUUUCCAAUUAAAAGGUUUAAUUAUUAUUAAUAUAAAUA
rnacentral:tRNA from 1 species